rnacentral:rRNA from 1 species
AUACGUAGGUGGCAAGCGUUGUCCGGAAUUAUUGGGCGUAAAGGGCGUGUAGGUGGAUGUUUAAGUCGUGUGUCUAAGUGCGGGGCUCAACCCCGUAUAGGCGCAGGAAACUGGAGAUCUUGAGUGCAGGAGAGGAAAGUGGAAUUCCCAGUGUAGCGGUGAAAUGCGUAGAUAUUGGGAGGAACACCAGUGGCGAAGGCGUACUUUCUGGACUGUGUCCGACACUGAGGCGACGAAAGCCAGGGGAGC